AAAUUAAACAGUGACAGCUUUAGUUAUAUUUUCUGCAUCAUUAAAAAUAAGGAAAGCAUUAAAUGUGCAUUUUAACUGCUGUGCCACUUAAAAAUGUGGACACAAACCCAAAUUUCAGAAAACAAGCUCUCUGUAACUUUACAGCAGACACUGUUGUCCUGUUCAUUUAAAUAAACCUGGUUUGCCACACAGCAAUCCCUUUUAUUAGAAUUUUAAGUUAAAAAAAUGUGCUUAAAUGACUGUCUUCCACAGCUUCCAUGUCCUCCAAAUGGCUACAAGGUAGCCACAUGCCUGCUCUGACAAGACCUUCCUGCAUUGUAGGAACUGAUGUAUAUCAUUUUGGAUACACAGAAAGACUAAACUCAUCUAAGAUAUGCAACAUUUGUCUCAUAUGCUUGAAAUCUGAUCCUAAAUCUGGUAUAGCCAGUACCAGCCCAGGGGUAGGCAUUCACCUCUUAAAAAGACCAGGUGAAGUGGUCAUACUUGCUAUGUCAUAUAUUAGGGAACUCAGAUCUGUCAUUUGCUCUUAUUUUAGAUAUUGUGCUUGAACCUGCUUCCAAUUCCAGCUUAUCCGAGACGUGAAAUUCAGAGAUCCUUGUUGAACCGUAAGAAAAACUUUUGUGUCUUGACUGAUCUUUGUGUCUGUUCAUUAAUGCUAAGAGGGUACUUCCUUAUUAUAAAUAACUACCACAUCUCACUGAAAGACUUAAGGAGGGUAAAAAAAGAGCAGUGAUUUGGUUUGUUCUUGUCCCAUUCCACAACAAGGAGUGGGAUGAUAGGAGCCAUUAAGAGAGGCAUAACAGCCUUUGCAAGGAAAGUAGAUUUUAGAUAAUCUUCACUCUUACUAGAGCCCCGUUGGUUCAGGUGAUGGUUUAUCUUCUCACUGGUCAACCUAGCAGCAGGAAAUGCUUAAAGGGUCACUACUACUUUUCACCUGCAGAUCUAUAUGAAGAGCCUAUGCCUUUGGCAUACGAUGCUGUUCAACGAGGCCAAAUAUUUUAAUGGUAUUUUCAGAAGAUUUUAAUAUUUGCUGUCUUUUCUUCAACUUCUCUUUCAUUCCAAUUCUACUAUCAUGCCAGCCUAUCCAUGUCUGACCUGACCUUUGGACAAGAUUCACAACAGUUACUAACAAGAAUCAGGAAAAGCAGAGCAGUAGGAAUGAAAUUAAGAACAGUAUAGAAUAAAGUUACAUCCCACCUUUAAAUUAUGAAUUUCACUGGAGGUCCAUCAUCUAGUAGAUGAUCAGCUUGCUUUUAAACUACCAAAAAUGAUUAAACUACCAUAAAGAACUGCCUCAUUUGGAAUCAUAAACUUUUUUUGACCCAAGAAAAUAUACUUUACUAAAGUGAACAUCAUUCGAUCCUUCCCUCUCUCCUUUCCAAUUGCCAAAACUAUAUCUUAGCUGUUUGCUUAUUAAAUGCUCACUCACAGUGGUGGGUGGGUGGGAGCAGAACUUGCUGAAAAUUUUUUCUUCUCACUUUCCAGUGAAGGUGAUUACAUGAAACAUUUUUGCAAGGAAAAACUAAAUUUAGCUUGAAAAGAAGCUGUGAUCAGUGGUAAAAGAAUGAGUUGGCAAGGAUGUAACAUUGAGAAGGACUGGAAAGGAGUUUAUGAUUUUUAGAUACACUGCUGUCCUCACUACUUCCUAUUCUGCCAUCUCAUGUGGUCUCUUGAUCAAUAUGAUUUAGGGCCUGUUCCAAUGUCACUAACAUUAAAUCAUAUGGUAACACAAAACUGUAAGGUUCUACUCUGGAAGGCCAAUGUGUGAAAAAUAAAUGCUGUAAUACCAAAGAAUCUAAUGCAAGUGUUUCUUUAUGAAGAUAGCCUCAAACAUCUGUGACUACUCUUUGCACCUCUCUCCUUUUUGCUUGCCAUACACUGAUUUUUUUUUCUCUGAAGAGGGGAAAAAAAAGUUCCACGUGUUUUUAGGCCUUGUUUUAGCUGAGCAAAUUCAAACAGCACACUUAGAUCAGGGUCUUUACUACCAAGUAACACUUUUCUCUUGCAUACAACACUGCUAAAAGAAAUUGGUCUUCUAUUUAAAGGAGGUGCUUGUUGAUCUGCAGAAAUUUUGUAAUCAUCUGUUGUAAAUAGGCAUUAAAGUUAAUAGCUGGUACUUGAGAAAACAGCAAUUACCAGAAACAGCGAGAUUAAUUCCUUAGGUAUGAUGGAUUUUUUUAGUUAAGGAGAGAAGUAUUUAAAAACUUCUUACUGAAUGUGAAGGCAAGGCUGAUCGAAGAAUAAGUAAUGAAAUUCCAGAAAUCCUAAGUGUCAGGUUAAGGGUGAUAAAUCCUCUUCAUCAGACAUUCUUGUGGGAUCAUAUUUAACCAAAAUGUUGAAGCCUAAAUCUCCUGGGUUUUUUUGUUUGGUUGGGGUUUUUCUACCCUAAGCUUUUAAUCCAUAGGAGUGAAAUGAAAUUUCAAAGUCCAUUUCAGGACAGACAUUUUUACCAUCUUGUCUUGGUACUCCUGAGGUGGUAAGAUGUUAUACUAUAGGCUAGUAUAACUUCUUUUGAAAAAGGUAUAUACCUGUCAUUUUUUAGGAGUUUGUUAAAGAUACUGUUCUAAUCCAGUAAAUUUUUUCAUACCAAUCUAAAUAGUCCCACUGAUUUCAAUGGCACUAAUUACAUACACAUGACUUUGUAAGAUAAGAAAGCAAAUUCUUAAACUUUGUUUUCCCUGUAUGCAGACCCUAACUGUGCUUUUCAGACUUAGUUUGUUGAGGUCAAAGAUUAUUAAGCACUUAGAACUAAUGUUUGUCUACACAGUUA